rnacentral:tRNA from 1 species
GCGGGAUUAGUUUAAUGGCAGAACUUCUGCUUCCCAAGCAGGUGGCGCGAGUUCGAUUCUCGCAUCCCGCA